ACAUGGCCAUGAAUGAAACUUUAUCUUGGGCCCGGGCCUACCUCUGCAUCAGUGGUUAUUUAUUUAUACAUAAUGUUUUUGUGUCCGUCCGUCAUCGCUGAGCAGAAUCAUCAGACCUCAGCAGCUAUACAACGUCUAUUUUCGUGUCCUUUUCCCCCGCCCUUUUUCUCCGCCUCCUUUUUUGUUUGGGGUGGGGGUGGGAAAAGGUUUGUGCUUGUUUCAUUUGUGAUGUAUGUACUGUACAUACGUACGACAUAUCCCUGUGGGACUGUGGUUAAGCCAGCAGUUGUAUAUAUCUUAUAGUUAUGUUGUACAUGUGUACGGAAACAUUGAUCUCCUUGAACUUUUUUCUGGUAACUAUGUCCAUAUAACUAUCUUUUGCAUAGCAAGAGAAACAGACAUGCAUUUCGGGAAUUGUCUAAUUUCCCGUAAUUAUAUUUAUCUACGUUUUUUGGUUUUAUUAACUGUCGUAUUCGCUUGUUGUCACUUCAGGGAAAGUAUUCGUUUUUCCAUUCCGUGAGCUUUUUUCUUUUUAAAGUGAGGGUUGUACAGAAGUUUGUGGUUUCUAGAAAAAAUAUAAAUACACAAAAAUGGGUGGAGAAAAAAAAAUUCUAAAAGUCUUAAAUAAACGACCAAAAAAAGAAGAAAAAAGAAAAGAGAUAACCCCGAGGAUAUAGAAACGGUGCAGUACAAUUGGUUGGAAAAUAUGAGAGUGGGAAGAAGGAAAAAUAAAGGGAAGCAUGGGGCAAAAAAAUAAAUGACAAUCCAUUUUAUCAACAUAACCAUUUAUUUAUCACCAUAGAAAGAAUGAAACAUGCCCAUGCCCAUGCCCGUUUUUCCCCAACGGUUCACUUUCUACCAGAACUUCAACUUCCCGAGACCCGACCUCGACUUCUCUUCCUUAGGGGCAUCCGCCUUCUCUUGCUCUCCCUCAGCCUGAGCGUCAGCUUCAGCCAAAGCACCGGAACCAGCGCCAGCCUGUUCCGCACCCUCGCCAUCUUCCCCCUUCGCGGCGGGAGCACCGCCAAGGGCCAGCAACUCACCAGCCGCAAGGUCAAGCUCGGUGCCCAUAAUAUGGCCACGAACAGGCUUCAGCUGACCAUGGAUGACAUUUUUUGGCCAUGACUCGGCAUACUGCAAAUUAUGCAGAUCCACCCAGAACAUCUUGACCUCGCCUUCAUUGACGAUGUGAUGCUCCGACGGCGGCAGCGAAGGGUCGAUUUUCACCUGCAGCAUGCGUUCCAAUUCGGCGAUCUUGUCCAUGGUGUCCUUCUCCAGCGCCUGCUGUGCUCUGAUAGCCGCCUGGAUCCGUUUCCGUCUCUUUCGGCUGAUUUUCUUGCCCGACUUAUCCUUAUCGCCAACCUUCCCGCUCUCAUUUUUCACCUUCUCGCCAUCUCCCCCUUCUACUUCUUCUUCUUCUGCUUCUGCUUCUCCUUCAUUCUCAUCUUCCAGUUCAUUUUCUCUCGCUUCCCGCUCCUGCUCCUCCUUCAUCUUCUGCUGCUGCAGCGCCAGUACCGCCGCCACAUCCGCAACGCUUGUAGCCUUUUGGUCCAUGAGGAUACGCGCGCGCAAUUUUUUGUUAAGGAACUGAUGCUGCUCCAUGCGAGUCUUCCAUUCCUCAUCCCAUUUCUCGGCUUCGGCGGGGUCCCGCGGGCGCUGCCGGGUGAGCACCUCGUUGUCUUGCGAGGCAGUGAUCAUAUCUGCGGGCGGGGCAAGUUGCCGCUGCAUGGAGAACUCGCGGAGAAGGCGGUAGGCUUCAAGGCCAAGGGAGGUGGAGGGGAAAUGCAGGGAGAAAUAAGGGGUCCACAUAUCCUUGCGCAGUGUAGCGGGUACGGUCUUCUUGCCGUGGUAGACU
rnacentral:sRNA from 2 species